rnacentral:rRNA from 1 species
UACGUAGGUGGCAAGCGUUGUCCGGAAUUAUUGGGCGUAAAGCGCGCGCAGGCGGUCCUUUAAGUCUGAUGUGAAAGCCCACGGCUCAACCGUGGAGGGUCAUUGGAAACUGGGGGACUUGAGUACAGAAGAGGAAAGUGGAAUUCCACGUGUAGCGGUGAAGUGCGUAGAGAUGUGGAGGAACACCAGUGGCGAAGGCGACUUUCUGGUCUGUAACUGACGCUGAGGCGCGAAAGCGUGGGGAGCAAACAGG